rnacentral:rRNA from 1 species
CCUACGUGAGGCAGCAGUAGGGAAUCUUGCGCAAUGGGGGAAACCCUGACGCAGCAACGCCGCGUGAUCGAUGAAGCCCUUCUGGGUGUUAAGAUCUUUCAGUGGGGACGAAACCUGACGGUACCCACAGAGGAAGCACCGGCUAACUCCGUGCCAGCAGCCGCGGUAAUACGGGGGGUGCAAGCGUUGUCCGGAAUCAUUGGGCGUAACGCGUUCGUAUGUGGGACGUUAAGUCUGGUGUUAAAGGCGGAAGCUCAACUUCCGUAUGGCACUGGAUACUUGCGAUCUUGAAUGCGGUAGAGGUAAAGGGAAUUCCGGGUGUAGCGGUGAAAUGCGUAGAUAUCAGGAGGAACAUCGGUGGCGUAAGCGCCUUACUGGGCCGUAAUUGACACUGAGGAACGAAAGCCGGGGUAGCAAAUGGGAUUAGAUACCCCUGGUAGUC